AACAAACAGCCCUACUUGAGUUUCUAGAUGAUUAAGUGGAAAAUAUUCUACUUUGGCGGAAAAUCUCUGCUCAUCAAGUGUCACUUUUCACGAGGUGUGAGUACCAUUCAGGAAAUUUUCAUCACAGAAGUUUCCUUAAAAACCUUUGGAAACUGGUGAAACCCCACACCACUGUGGCUUGGCUGCUUGGCCCUGAGGCUUGCGACCACAGAGGCAGCAAAUGAGGAGCAGAAGCUUGGAGGGAAACCACAGCCUAGCACUGCUUUCCCAGCCUGUACAGCAACGUUUUAGCCCAUCACUUCAGCAGCGGACCGACCUUCUACACUCUGCAGUCUUCUUCCUUCCCAGCCCGUACAGCAAUGAUGCACUGUUUCACAGAAGAGACCAGAUUUUCUAAAUCUUCAUAGCUAGCACACUAUUUAGGGAAUACAGAGCUGUUUGGGAUUCAGCCUAGGUUUGACGCGACUUCUGACAGAAACAUGGACAUUUGACGCAUGUGAGACAUCCAAGAGACAUUUUUAGACCUUUAUUCUGCCGUUUUACAGUUAGUCAUACCGUAGGUGCUUUAAUUCAGACCUGUGAUAUUAAUGUUGGAGUUGUUUAGCAUGUUUGCUAUUUUUUAGCCUGUUAGCUAGCUGACCAGCCUAGUUCUAGUUAAGAACAUAAGUUGCCAGCAUCUCAGUUAAAACAAAAAACGGGCUCCUACUUCAUCAGUACACUCUGUGAUACACAGUUCUGUUGCUGUUAGACAGUCAUAGGUGUGUGUAUAUCCACAAAUGUGUCUCAGCCAAUCAGAUUUUAGCACCAGAACUAUCCGUUUUAUAACAGUCAUUUUAUUCACUAUUUAAAAUGACCAGUGAACCUACAUGAGUCUUAUGAGUUUUUAGAUCAUUACUGUGCAAAAAUCCUAUGUGUCUCCAAAACGGCAAGUUUGCAGUAGAAGGCAAAAGUGUUCGUUACUUGUAGGUUAAUGUAAUAAAUUUAUUCCAAGUAAUUUUAGUGCAUUUCAUUUGGUCCAUUCAUUACGAAAUGUAAACCUAAUGUAAAG